rnacentral:rRNA from 1 species
AUGGCCGAAUGUUUCAAUAGGGUCCUCAAAGGUGCACGUGAAUUACCCGUGACGGCAAUAGUUCAAUACACAUUUGACAAGAUGAAUGCGUACUUUGUAAAGUACUCGAUGGAAACGGAUGCACAGAUAGCGGGUGAGAACCCACGCAAGUACAAGUACAAGUUCCCACCCAAAGUUGAUGAAUGGUUGGUAUUUCAAUCACGGAAGGCGGACUCAGAAGAAGCUAUAUUAUAUGACAACGAAGAGUGGAAGUACGAAGUGAAAGAGCCAGGAGGAACCACAAACGAUGGCCGGCAACAUGGAGGUCGGGCUUUCAAGGUGUCGUUAACACAAUGUGAUUGCACUUGCGGGAGGCCAUUGUUGCUUCAUCUCCCAUGCUCACAUUUGUAUACCGCCGGUCGCGUUAGGAAUGUGGACAUCAAUCACCCACGCACCGUGAGGGAGUCGGAGUUCUCAAUCAUGACGGUCAAGAAAACAUGGGCUCCCCGCUUUCACCCGUACUUUGACCAAUCACAAUGGCCGGAGUAUCAUGGAGUUCAACUAUGGCCGGAUCCGGAGUUGAAGGUUGAUAAACGGGGUAGACGUAAGACAAAGCGUCUUAGAGGCGACAUGGACGGAUGGGGCCAUGGUGGCCGCCGCGAAGCGGGCAAUGACCAAUUCCAAGAGCCUUGUGAGAGCUCCCGUUGUGGGGAGUGCAAAGGUCAUGGCCACAACAAAAGAAAAUGUACGAAACCAAGGAAAAGGUCCAAGAAAAAUGAUGCAAGCACAAGCCAACAAGGAGCUACACAAGGGAGCCAACCUAAGUGGUAG